rnacentral:lncRNA from 1 species
UGUCGGGAAGAAGGGAGGGUUGAGCAAUGUCUGCGGCUUCCCCCGGGAUCUUGGGCCCGCCAAGUGUCCCACGGCACAGAGCCACUCGCUGGGCCAGAGGGGGCACAGGCUGUCUUGCCUCCAUGGCCCCAAUCCACCUGGAGACGUGCACGCAGCAGGGCAAGCGGUGCCCACAUUGCCAACCCUGAGGGC